CUACAAUGGUCGGUACAGAAGGAUGCAAGACCGCGAGGUGGAGCCAAUCCUGAAAGCCGAUCCCAGUUCGGAUUGGAGUCAAUUCGACUCCAUGAAGUUGGGGAUAACUUGGCGAAAGCCGGGCUAAUACCGAAUGUGGUCCCUUGGCGCAUGUCGAGGUGACUAAAGGUGGGGCUUCCGAUUCGUCGGAACCUGCCGCUUCUCGAGGAGCCCGCGUCCUAUCAGCUUGUUGGUGAGGUAACGGCUCACCAAGGCUUACGGGUAGCUGGUCUGAGAGGAUGGUCAGCCACACUGGGACUGAGACACUGCCCAGACUCCUACGGGAGGCUGCAGUCGAGGAUCAUUCGCAAUGCGCGAAAGCGUGACGAUGCGACGCUGCGUGGAGGAUGACGGCCCUGGGGUUGUAAACUCCUGUCAUUCGGGAACAAUGGUCCCGUGGUGAAUAUCCACGGGGCGUGUUGGUACCGGAAGAGGAAGCCACGGCUAACUCUGUGCCAGCAGCCGCGGUAAUACAGAGGUGGCGAGCGUUGUUCGGAUUUACUGGGCGUAAAGGGUGUGUAGGUGGCUUCGUAAGUCGGGUGUGAAAUCUCACUGCUCAGCGGUGAAACGGCAUUCGAAACUGCGGGGCUAGAGUGCAGGAGGGGAAAGCGGAAUUCUUGGUGUAGCGGUGGAAUGCGUUGAUAUCAAGAAGAACACCGGUGGCGAAGGCGGCUUUCUAGAAUGCUACUGACACUGAAACACGAAAGUUGGGGGAGCGAACAGGAUUAGAUACCCUGGUAGUCCCAACCGUAAACGGUGUACACUUGGUGUGGGGGGAUUUGACCCCCUCCGUGCCGUAGCUAACGCGAUAAGUGUACCGCCUGGGGAGUACGGCCGCAAGGCUAAAACUCAAAGAAAUUGACGGGGGCCCGCACAAGCGGAGGAGCAUGUGGCUUAAUUCGAUGCAACGCGAAGAACCUUACCAGGGCUUGACAUGCAGCUGCACGCCCCGGGAAACCGGGGAAGCCUUCGAGGGUGCUGCACAGGUGCUGCAUGGCUGUCGUCAGUUCGUGCCGUGAGGUGUUGGGUUAAGUCCCGCAGCGAACGCAACCCUUGUGUCUAGUUGCCACCGCAGGUGUUAAGCUUGCGAGCACUCUAAACAGACUGCCCGUGUAAGCGGGAGGAAGGUGGGGA
rnacentral:rRNA from 1 species